rnacentral:rRNA from 1 species
AGAGCGAACGCUGGCGGCGUACUUAACACAUGCAAGUCGAACGAGGAUCAUCGGGUUAGCAAUAAUUCGGUGGUCCUAGUGGCGCACGGGUGAGUAACACGUGGGUGACCUGCCCUUGAGCUCGGGAUACCCCCUCGAAAGGGGGGCUAAUACCGGAUACGUUCCUCGGUCGAAAGACUGAGGAGGAAAGGUGGCGCAAGCUGCCGCUCUUGGAGGGGCUCGCGGCCUAUCAGCUAGUUGGCGGGGUAACGGCCCACCAAGGCUAUGACGGGUAGCUGGUCUGAGAGGACGACCAGCCACACGGGGACUGAGACACGGCCCCGACUCCUACGGGAGGCAGCAGUGGGAAUUUCGCAAUGGGCGAAAGCCUGACGGAGUGACGCCGCGUGUGGACGAAGGCCUUCGGGUCGUAAACCACUGUCAGUGGAAAGAGUGGUGUCGGCGCUAAUACCGCCGGCAUCUGACGUACCUGACAGAGGAACGCCCCCGGCCAACUCGUGUGCCAGCAGCCG